rnacentral:misc_RNA from 1 species
UGAAAAUUCUAGAUAAGUUCAACUCCAUAAGAUCCUUCAUUCUUUGUUUAUUUCUCCUUGAAUGUUCAAUAUCUAGAGUCCUGUAGGCAAGACCAAGCAAGUACAUUGCUGGAUGUAAUCUCUUCUCAAAGUGAUCAUUUGCCUCCAAGCCAUCCCAAUACCUCUGAGAUGGCACAUUUCGGCCUUUCUUAUCUCUGCCAAACGUCUCCACAUACCAACCUCCAAUGUCAUGCAUGCCACAUCGAGGUUCAAAUAGCCAGAAUUUGCUCGGAGGUAGCUUAGCUUUGCUGCAUCUGCACUCACAGGUUAAUACUUCAUCUCCUAAUUGAUACCAGUGCAUGUGUCUUACCAGCAAUGUUCGAUGCUUCAUAAUCUCAUGGGUUUUCACACCGUUGUUGUCGUAAACAUCGCAAGAACCUUCUUCAGGACUGGUCCCCAACCCUUUUAUCAUUCCCAGUGGAAUGACAGACUUCCAUCCGAAGUCCAUUAGGUUACUUUUGGGGACGUCAUGUGAGCUGAGGUAAACAUGAAUGCAGUCAUCAAUACCUUCAUUCUGUAUCCCAUUAUAUCUACUCCUAGGUGGAACUCUUGUUGCCAUAGCAACAAGCCUCCCUCCAACAUGCAAUUCUAAGUCUCUGUAUGCAUCUGAUGUAUAGUACUUG